rnacentral:rRNA from 1 species
CUAGCUACAGGCUAACACAUGCAAGUCAGGGGCAGCAUGAGAUUAGCUUGCUAAUCUUGAUGGCGACCGGCGCACGGGUGAGUAACGCGUAUCCAACCUUCCCCCUACUCAGGCAUAGCCCGGUGAAAACCGGAUUAACUCCUGAUAGUUUCACUAGAUGGCAUCUGACGGUGAAUAAAGCUCAGCGGUAAGGGAUGGGGAUGCGUCUGAUUAGCUUGUUGGCGGGGUAACGGCCCACCAAGGCGACGAUCAGUAGGGUUCUGAGAGGAAGGUCCCCCACAUUGGAACUGAGACACGGUCCAAACUCCUACGGGAGGCAGCAGUGAGGAAUAUUGGUCAAUGGGCGGAAGCCUGAACCAGCCAAGUAGCGUGCCAGGAUGACGGCCCUAUGGGUUGUAAACUGCUUUUGUAUGGGAAUAAAGUCAGGGACGCGUCCCUGUUUGCAUGUACCAUAAGAAUAAGGACCGGCUAAUUCCGUGCCAGCAGCCGC